UAUCUCAAUCAAAGCACUCUCUAACUUAGCCUUAAGCUCAACUCGUUCAUGAGCUGCCUUCUUAAUCAACUUAUCUUGGUUGAUCAGGCAAUCAUUCAAUUCUUCUAUUUCUAAGGCAAGUUGUUCUGGAGUAGCCUUUACCUCUGUUUCUGUGUCAGAGUCACUUUCCUUGUCAUCCUUCUUGUUGUCGGUGUUGAGGGCCAUGACACAGUACCC
rnacentral:lncRNA from 1 species